GACGAACGCUGGCGGCGUGCUUAACACAUGCAAGUCGAACGCUGAAGCUCAGCUUUUGUUGGGUGGAUGAGUGGCGAACGGGUGAGUAACACGUGAGUAACCUGCCCCCUUCUUUGGGAUAACGCCCGGAAACGGGUGCUAAUACUGGAUAUUCACUGGUCUUCGCAUGGGGGUUGGUGGAAAGGGUUUUUCUGGUGGGGGAUGGGCUCGCGGCCUAUCAGCUUGUUGGUGGGGUGAUGGCCUACCAAGGCUUUGACGGGUAGCCGGCCUGAGAGGGUGACCGGUCACAUUGGGACUGAGAUACGGCCCAGACUCCUACGGGAGGCAGCAGUGGGGAAUAUUGCACAAUGGGCGCCAGCCUGAUGCAGCGACGCCGCGUGAGGGAUGGAGGCCUUCGGGUUGUGAACCUCUUUCGCUCAUGGUCAAGCCGCAACAAUGGUUGUGGUGAGGGUAGUGGGUAAAGAAGCGCCGGCUAACUACGUG
rnacentral:rRNA from 1 species